GUGGCUGCAGGAGAGGAGGAGGGUUGGGGGUUGGGUGACAUAGGUGAAGGAAUGAAGAGGUACAAACUUCCAGUUAUAAAAUAAAUUAGCCAGGGUGCUGUAACAGAGCGCUUAAGGAAUAUAGCCCAUACUACUGUAAUAACUCUGUGUGGGAACAUACGGUCACUAGACUUAUUGUGACUGUCUCAUAAUGUAUGCAAAUGUCAAGUCGCUAUGUAGCUCACCUGAAACUGACAUAAUAUUGUAUGUCAAUGAUACUUCAACUAAAAAAUAAAAUGUGUAAAAAUAAAAAUGGCAAUGAACAGCGCAUCAGCAAUUAAAUAACAAAAUCCUUCAGCAAGGAAAGGAGUAGGAAUGGGGAAACUAGAUAACUUGCUGGCUUUUUCCCUCCCACCUCCUUCCAUUGUCAUUCAACAAAUGUUAACUGAGUGCUUUAGAUGUUUCAGUGGCAUUGAAGACACAAUGGUGGGUUAAAACAGACUCAAACUGAGGAGCAAUCUGCCAAAUAACUGGCCUCCACUCUCCAAAAAUGUCAAGGUCAUUACAAAGAAAGACUGAGGAACUGUUCUAAUUUAAAGGAUACGAAAGAGACAGGACAACCGGAUGCAACACAGCAUCUGGGGUUUUCUUUGCUACAAAGGACACUAUCAAGACAAAUGGCAAAGCCUGAAGGUCUGUAGAUCACAGAACAGUACUGUAUCAAUACUGAUUUCUUAAUUUCACAAAGUGUGCUAUAGUUAUACUGGAAAACAUCCUUGGUUUCAGGAAAUACACUGAAGUAAUCCGAGGGAAAAGGAAGAGUCUAUAAAUGAUCCUCAAAUGGUUCAGGAAAAAUAUAUAUACAUAGAAUAAAAUAAAUGUGAUAAGAUGGUAACACUCGAGGAAUCCAGGCGAGGGUACAUGGGAGUUCUUUGUUCUAUUCUUAGAAUUUUUCUGUAAGUCUGAAUUAGGUCAAAAUAAAGAGUUAAAAAAAAAAAGUCUCAAAGAAGGUUUGUAUGUGUGUGUUUUAAAGGAAGACAGACAGGCCCUGCUUUCACAGGGCUCACAGGAUAUCGUAGGAGACAGGUACUAAUACAAAUGAUUACACUAAUUAAGCACAAGAUUGCAACUGUGAAAAGUGCUGGAAAUGAAGAGCGAUCUGGUGGCCUGAGUGUUUACAGCAGGCGGUUUCACCCGCGGCAGGAAGGCAGGAGGGGCGGAGGCACCUGCAAUCACAGAGCCAAGGCCCAAAGCACGGGUUAACCGGGGAGGGGACGAAGGUCUCAGGCUCACACUGGCCCCGCGGGCAGGUGCGAUGAGAGCUGAGAAGGUAUGGGGAUCAAAGCGUGCACACCGGUGCCCGCGGGAGAUGCCAACAUUAGUUUCUUCUUUUAUUUUAAGGGCAAGAGGAAGCGGUGUUGAAAGACCCCCUUGGCAGCAGUAGGGAACAGGCUGGCAUGUGAGAGGCGUGUGGCAACCACAACGCCUCUGUGAAGAACGUGAAUGACUUUUCUUCUGCUUCUGGACACCUUAAUUUUCGACAACCACCGGGAAAGCCAUCUCUUUGAAAGUCUCAAUACCAUAAAGGGCAGCCUGAUGCAGAA